rnacentral:lncRNA from 1 species
UUCAUCUAAGCCUUUCUCGCCAGCCUUCCUCCCCAAUACCCCUUCUCUAUCGCUCUAUUUUUAGAGCGCACUGUAAUCCCUCCCCCUCUCCAUUUUCCUCCCUCUCCAGCUCUAUUUACCUAUUUUAUGGCACGCAGUCAAAGGCAGAGAGCAAGCUCUGUUCAAAUCAAAUCACGUUUUUUUGUCACAUGCGCCGGAUAGAACUUUACCAUGAAAUGCUUACUUAUGAGCCCUUUCCCAACGAUGCAGAGUAAUAAAAAAAACCCACAAGGAAUAAAAUACACAAGAAUGAAGCUAUAUACAGGGAGUACCAGUAGUAUAUCAAUGAGGCAGAUGAAAAUGCGCAGCGCUCCGUUUUUAGGUCAGUGGGACACGGAAUGGCGCUCUCUCUCUCUCCCUUCUUUUGAUCGACGAGUGGAAACAUUGUGACCUUCCUGACAUUCUAGUUUUCAGUUUUCCCUCGCAACUUUGUUUUUAAAACAUACUACACCCUCUAGUAUUGUGUCUGGGUGAAAACCGAGACAGAGGAAGAGAUGGCUCAUCUGGUGGCUGUGGUGAUUCUUUAGGGGAAAGAAAGAGCAGAGCAAAAUAGGAGGGAAUUCCUAGCUGUCUGUCUCUCACUGUGAAAAAAAGACAGAGAAAAGUGUCCUGGAAGGUGUAACCACUAAAACUAUUAUGCAAAUGAGGAAAUGAGGAAGGGAGCUGCCACUGUGAGAAAGAUAUACUGUAAACUAGUAUUAUUAUGUAAUAAAAUGGUCAUACUCUAGAUUGUUAUGAUGAGGUUGAAGCUAGGUCAAGUUGUUAUGAUGAGGUUGAGACUAGAUCUAUAUUGUUAUGAGGUUGAGACUAGGUCAGGUUGUUAUGACAAGGUUGAGACUAGGGUCUAGGUUGUUAUGAUGUGGUUGAUACCAGGUCAGGUUGUUAUGAUGAGGUUGAUACUAGGUCAGGUUGUUAUGAUGAGGUUGAGACUAGAUCUAUAUUGUUAUGAGGUUGAGACUAGGUCAGGUUGUUAUGACAAGGUUGAGACUAGGGUCUAGGUUGUUAUGAUGUGGUUGAUACCAGGUCAGGUUGUUAUGAUGAGGUUGAUACUAGGUCAGGUUGUUAUGAUGAGGUUUAUACUAGGUCAGGUUGUGUAACCCAGACAAGCUCUAGAGCCAAAUGAAGUGGCUAGAAAGUACUCUACUUGUACUGAGUUCAGUUAGUGUGUCAGUGACAGAUGGAGUAGAGACAGCUUUAGAUUAGAUCCCAAAAAUAAAACCAGACCUUAUUUAGUCUUACUUGAGCUAUUGUUAGAUAUAGUGGUGGUAGCCUGAUAGUGGUAGCAAAGACCAGAAAUGAACAGAUUAAAUACCUAACAUUAGAAACAAUAUUGAAUCUAUAGAAAAAAGAGAUAAGAAAACAAUAACUGACCAAAAGCUUCUGUUACUGAUC